rnacentral:rRNA from 1 species
CAACACCCGAAGUCGGUGGGGUAACCGCAAGGAGCCAGCCGCCGAAGGUGGGGUAGAUGAUUGGGGUGAAGUCGUAACAAGGUAGCCGUAUCGGAAGGUGCGGCUGGAUCACCUCCUUU